GAUUAACUGGGUUUGAGCUGGGGCUUAGGAAUGUACUUCUAACAAGUUCUCAGACCCUGCUGGUGCUGCUGGUCUGGGAUCACACGCUGGAACCCCUGGGGAGCUGUUGACACUGGGGGACAACCAGCUGAGUUCUGUUUUAUUUUUUUGGCCACGUCAUGUGGCUCGUGGGGUCCUAGUUCUCUGACCAGGGAUUGAACCCAGGCUCUUGAUAGUGAAAGUGCUGAGUCCUAACCACUGGACCACCAGGGAACUCCCCAACUGGAUUCUAAAGAGGAGUCCAGCCUCCGUUUGCCAGGGAUUCAGGCUAAAUAUUCACCUGUGUGUAACUUUUGCACCUGUCAUUUGUCAGGCACAAGGGCCCAAAGACUUGUCACUUAUUGAGUGGAGGAGUGUUCUGGGAGGGGAGGUAGGUAGCUAAGUAGCCCUGAUGGGGGCUCUCAGAAAGGCACCCCAGGGCUUGGCGGUCGGCAUGGCUGCCCUCUGCCCGGAACCUGGGAUCUUGGAGGAACCCCUCUUUCCCCUCUAGUUAAGUAACCAAAUGUUUGCUGGACACACACAGCGUGGUCCCUUCAUGUGCCGGGUGUUUGGGGGAGGAGGGAUCAGAGGAGAGGACAGUCUUUGCUUUCUGGAGUUUGCUGCGGAAGCAUUAAUUAGGAGGACGAUAAAAGGCAAUGUCACAUUAAGAGCAUAACUGCUGGUUAGAAAUACGUUAUCGCUCUGGGCUCUAGGCUCCUGAAAGACAUGCCCACGUGUAGGCUGACGAGAUCAAGCUGCCAGCAUUAGAACGAGCCGCCACCUGCAAAAACAGGUUGUGGUUCCGAGUUGGUUUUGUGAAAGGAAUCGUCAGACCAACACCACCUGGGGGACAAAGCUGGAGGACGGCCCGACGUAACUCCCACUUGGAGGCUGAAGCAGCCGCAGAGAAGAGGGUACAAAGAUGGCGCUCUCCGUGGCCGCACCGCGCACCCAGCAUCCAGCCUCGCUCAAGACACUAGCGCUCCUUCAGACACAUGCGCAGUCGCUUCAGGUGCGUCCGACUCUUUGCGAACCCAUGGCCUGUAGCCCGCCAGGCUCCUCUGUCCACGGGAUUCUCCAGGUAACCUUAGGAAGUGUCUACAGGGACAAGGUUCAGAGCCUCUGCUUCUGAAGACACAUGUUCUCCUCCAGGGAACGCCAGCCGGGAGGACACACAGCCUCUUACUUCCAGAGCCCUGGUUCCUGCGGUCCACCGCAAGCGGGGUGUCCUCGUAACCACACCCUGGCCUCGCGUCAACCAGACGAGGUUCAGAUGCAGCGGGAGCACCAGCUGCCCACAGAGAUCUCUGGGAGGGCGGGAAACUCCAGCGUGGAUUUGAUGAAGGACAGAGCCUCCAAGUGGCUCCUGGGAUCCGUCAGUGUGAGACCUACAUGGAUGAUGUGCAGAAACUUUGCACGUGGAAAACACCCAACAUUCUUUCUUUCUUCUUGUUAUAUUUUAUUUUGGCUGCCCUGGGUCUUCCUUGCAGCCUGUGGGCUUUCUCUAAUUGGGGUGCGCAUGGGCUUCUCUCGUGGCAUAUGGUCUCUAGAGCAUGCGAGCUCAGUAGUUGGGACACGUGGGCCUUCUCUAGUUGUGGUGCAAGGGCUUAGUGGCCCUGUGGCGUGUGGGAUCUUAGUUCCUCGACCAGGGAUCAAACCUGCGUCCCUUACAGUGAGAGGCAGAGCCUUAACCACUGGGCCACCAGGAAAUUCUCCCAACACUCUACUUUUAUAUCUAUAUGAGAUGAUGGAUGUUCGCUGAACUUAUUGUGGUCAUCAUUCCAGGAUGCAUGUAAGUCAAAUCAUGAAGCUGUCACCUUAAACUUGCACAGUGC
ensembl:lncRNA